UGAGCUUUCUCACUUCCCUUCACCCCCAGCUCUCACUAUCUUGUUCUUGUUCUUUCCUGACUGUAAAUCCGAAGAGAAUAUCGAUACUUGCAUCGAUUUCUCAACCAAUAAAUAUAGAAAUAUCUUUAUUGUCUUCACGAUGAUGUUUUGCUGACUGUCUUAUUCCAGUUGAAUUUGAGCUCUAAUGGCGUCGAGGCAAGGGUUUAGAUCGAAGAAAUCGGUUUCGAAACUACACAGAGCUGUUAAUUCUUUCCUUCUCUGCUCAGAUACCACAGUGGGCUGAAUGCGGCAUAUAAUCUCAUUGGUCGUCUGCUCGGAUUUUAUCCAAUGUUCUUCACUAAUAGAUAAUCGGGUUUGGGUUCCAUGACGACGACGGCGACGACAAAGAGGAUAGGUAAGAUCCCUCUUCGUUUAAGGCACCUUCUGGCUGUGACAACCAAGCUUGAAGAUCACCCAUGCAAUCAGAAGUUAAAGAUACAGAUUUUCCAAUGAAAAACCCAGAAAUCGUCACCGACACAAUGGCCCUGCGACGGUUUUUGUCACCGGCGGGGGAACAGAAUCGAAGCAGAAACAUUUGGGAAGUUUAAAAAAUAGCACGAUUAGAUGUAACGCUCAUCAGAGUUCAUCAGAAACAUGUACGAUAGAAACAGUAAGCGAUCGAAAACGGUUUGUAUUUCGGGAAAUUUUUUUGGUUUUUUGACGGUAAGGAAUCAAUGGAUGGAUGGAUAUAGGUUGCAGACACGAAACGGCAGAAAUGAUUUUUGAGUUGUCGAGAUUUGGGUUUGAAAUUGGGGUAAACAUGCUACUCUGAUGGUUUUGGAACGAUCUAAGGUGCCUUCAGAAUUGUUAGAAGGACUGCUGUUUUCGAAACGCUUACACAGAACGACACGAAGCUCGCUCGCGCGCGCUUUCGCUUUUUCUCUCUCUCCACUGCUGAUAAUCUACCCAUACAGCAUAUACAGUGAAAACAGGGAAUGGAGAAACAGGUAAAGAAAGGGUUUUCACUUCUGAUGAGGGUAGCUUAGGUAUUAGACAAAUAGGGGGAUAUUUUAGGGAUUGUGAAAAAAAUUAACUUGACUUAAUAGUCAACUAACGGUUGGGACAGUUAGAUAGGUUCUUUUUCUUAUAGGAGAGGGUAAUGAUAUUUUCGCAAAGAUGGUGGGUUCAAUUGAUAUUUCACCUUAGUUUAGGGGAGGGGAGUGAAGUUUACCAUUUUUUUGAAUGAAGAAAAAGGAUCCACAUUUGAUAUUUAUUUUCUAUUUAUAUGGGAUUGUUUUUAUUUUAUCUUUGAAUAGAUUGGACUUUAUUUUCA